UACGGGGGGGGCAAGCGUUGUUCGGAAUUACUGGGUGUAAAGCGUGCGCAGGCGGUGAUGUAAGACAGGUGUGAAAUCCCCGGGCUUAACCUGGGAACUGCAUUUGUGACUGCAUCGCUGGAGUGCGGCAGAGGGGGAUGGAAUUCCGCGUGUAGCAGUGAAAUGCGUAGAUAUGCGGAGGAACACCGAUGGCGAAGGCAAUCCCCUGGGCCUGCACUGACGCUCAUGCACGAAAGCGUGGGGAGCAAACAGG
rnacentral:rRNA from 1 species